UACAGAGGGGGCAAGCGUUGUUCGGAAUUACUGGGCGUAAAGGGCGCGUAGGUGGCCUGAUAAGUAGGAGGUGAAAAUCCUGGGGCUUAACCUCAGGGCUGCCUUCUAGACUGUCCGGCUCGAGCACAGUAGAGGCAGGUGGAAUUCCCGGGUGUAGCGGUGGAAUGCGUAGAGAUCGGGAAGAACAUCGGUGGCGAAGGCGGCCUGCUGGGCUGUUGCUGGACACUGAGGCGCGACAGCGUGGGGAGCAAACAGGG
rnacentral:rRNA from 1 species